ensembl:lncRNA
UACAAUUUGUAGAAUUAGCAUAUUUCGUGGUUUUUGUUUUGGGUACCAGCUGCGGGUACACACCUGUGUGCAUUUAGAAAAGACUCAUAGUAAUGAUCUUUAAACACUGUAGCCGUGUGUGUGUGUGUGUGUGUGUGUGUGUGUGUGCGUGUGUGUGCGUGUGUGUGCUAGAAUGAAGGGGUAUUAUACAUUAAUUUAGCUAACAGACAGUCUUAGUGUCUGUAGAAUCAAACUCAACAAUUUAUACACAACUGUGAGACCUUUGCUAAAUGACGUAAAACGGAAGUAACUUAGCUUGGGGUGGUGGGUCUGUGUGAAACUUGUGGCCAUUUUGUAAAAAUGUCCAUCUGACAGGAAUACAGUCAAAUAAAUCAACACAAAUACACUAUAUUCUCACUAGCUUGGUUAUAUUCUUUACAGAAAGCAUUUUUCUUACAGCUUUGUGUCUUUGUGUCUGUUGUUUGUUAUGAAUGUGGGAUAAAUGGAGGGGAGCGUGGAGCUGGCAAAACCAACGGUGGGGGUUCCAAUUCUCGUUUGGGCCACAUCCAUUCCCAAAAAUGAUAAAAGGGUCUGUUGAAGGAGCAUAUGACUAUUUUCGUUCCAGUAAACACGCUGUUGUAGUCUGCCUCCCUGUGUCCUGUGAGCUGCCCAUCCUCCUCCAGCCAGUUAAAUCAUCUCGUCUUGGGCGAAACCAAGAGCAACUGAAACAACCCUACACACUCAUGUUAUCACUGAAGCUCAGCAAAUGUGCUGUGAUGUUGUUAUCUUCAAUGUCUUAAUCUUUAUUUUGUUUAUUUGUGUGUGGAGGGGUACGGGUGUUUUGAGGAUUUAGUUUUGAUAUAUUUGAUUUUAAGCAAACUGCAGUUAUACAUGUUGAACAUAGCUCGGUGCAUCGAUGUUGCACGUGCACAAAUCAGAAACGGUAAUACCGAAAUGUUAUGUUAUGUUUUAAUAUUUGUAUAAUUUAUUUUUGGCCACUUUUGCAACCUGAAAAAGACAAAAUAGUGAAAUGAAGAGGGCACCGUGUUUUUUAUUUCUAUGUAUUGCUGUUUGACUUUUAAAUCUUUGUUCAAGGCUGAUUUCUAGGAUGCUGUAUUGUUUUUAUGAUUUAAAUAGUUUUUCUGAGUUGGUGCGUUCUGCAUGAGGCAAUGGGGUAUUCUUUAUGCAUCGACGAAAACUUACGGUUGAACGUUGUUUUUCUGGGGGAUGUUGUAUCAAUGACUGUACAUUUAAAAGUGUAAAUUGUUUUCAUUGUUUUAUAAGAACAUAUAUAAAAAAAAUCUUUCAUAAUGAUGGAAUCAUGUUUUUAUCUUUCCUGGCAAUGGUAUUUAACUUAUUUGAUCACAUAAACAGGUUGUGGGUCUGCUAGAGUUGCUGGCAUGUGACCUGGGGCAUACAAUGUAUCGACUGAAUCCUCAAAUCAAACACUGAAUGGAACUAAAUGGAACAGGAAUGCGAGUGGAUAGAAGGGACAACAAUGUGGUGCGUGCUACGUCAUCGGCUGACAGAUUGCUAUAACGUGUACACUGAACAAAAAUAAGCGCCACAUGCAACAGCUUCAACGAUUUUUACUGAGUUACAGUUCGUAUAAGGAAAUCAGUCAAUUGAAAUAGAUUCAAUUAGGCCCUAAUCUAUGGAUUUCACAUGACUGAGAAUACACAAAUGCAUCUGUUGGUCACAGAUACCUUUAAGGUAGGGGGCGUGGAUCAGAUAACCAGUUAGUUUCUGGUGUGACCACCACUUGCCUCAACACAUCUCCUUUACAUAGAGUUGAUCAGGCUGUUUAUUGUGGCCUGUGUAAUGUUGUCCCACUUCUCUUCGGUUGCUGGAUGUGGCCGGGAAUAGUAACACGCUGUCAUACGUCAAUCCAGAGCAUCCCAAACAUGCUCAAUGGGAUACAUGUCUGAGUAUGCAGGCCAUGGAAGAACGGGGACAUUGUAAGCUUCCAGGAAUUGUCUACAGAUCCUUGCAGCAUGGGGCUGUGCAUAAUGAAAUGGCGGGAGAUGAAUGGCAAGACAAUGGGCCUCGGGAUCUAGUCACGGUAUCUCUGCAUUCAAAUUGCCAUCAAUAAAAUGCAGUUGUGUUCAUUGUCCAUAGCUAAUACCUGCCCAUACCAUAUCAGCACAAGGUGCACCUGUGUAUUGAUCUAGCUGUUUUAAUCAGCUUCUUGAUAUGCCACACCUGUCAGGCUGAUGGAUUUAUGUUUGCGAAGGAGAAAUGCUUACUAACAGGGACAUAAACAAAUCUGAACAUUUGAGAGAAAUAAGCUUUUUUGUGGUUAUGGAAAAUGUCUGGGAUAUUUUAUUUCAGCAUAUGAAACAUGGGGUCAACACUUUACAUGUUGC